rnacentral:rRNA from 1 species
AUGCUUUUUUCUCCUUGCUCCGUCGCGGCGUGCGGCGCUCGUUCGCUCAGGCACCUGGCCGUGGCCGCCGUCAGUCUCCCGAUGCUCCUGUUCUGCGACGCCAUGGUGUGGGCCGUCACCUUCCUCACCUUCCCCGUGCGCCUCCUCGCCGCCGCCGACAGGGAGCGCAAGCUGGAGCGGUUGGUGGGGGAGAUGCAGGGGCAGAUGGAGCGGGUGGUGUGGGAGAACAGGGACCUGGAGCAGCGGCUGCGGACGACGCUCAAGGAGAACGCGACCAUGGAGGGCAUCCUCGACGAGAUGGAGGAGGAGAACGAGGACGCCUUCGCCAGGAUCGACCUCCUCGAGAGCCAGGUACGAGCAGAGCCGCAUCCAUCGAUUCGCCAUUGCGGGGAUGCAGAGCAGAGCAGAGCACGGGUAUGGUACACUAAUUUUGUGCUUGGCGUUGGUUCCUGCUCGUUCGGCAUGCAGCUCAAGGCGGUCAAGAAGGAGAACAUGCGGCUCAAGGAGCAGAGGGGCAAGUCCGUGUGGGACAAGGCGGCGGCGACGGUGGCGGUGGCUGGAAAUGGCGGGGGCAAGAAGAAGGCUGGCGAACCGAGGCCAUGGGAAGGCAAAGAAGAAGAGGAAGAAGAGGCGACAGCGCAGAAGGAUCGGCCCGUCGUCUUCAGACCCGGCGACCUCGACGCCUUCCCACCGUCGGAGGCGCGGGAUCAACUGUUGCGGGCGACGGCGCGGCGCCGGAGCCUGUUCAGCCUGGGCAUGUCGCUGACGGUGGGCGGGAUCGCGUGGUCGGCGGACAAGCCGUGCCUGCCGCUCCUCGCGGGGCUCGUCGCCGUGGUGGCCAUGUCCAUGUGCAGCGUGUCGCGCCUCUUCCACGCGCCCGCGGGCCGCCGUGGCCUGCCUCCCGCGUCCGCCGCCUCCGACGGCGCCGUGGCGCUGCUGAGCCUCAACUGGUUCCUGCUGGGCGUGCUCACCUACCCCAUGCUCCCGGGGGUGGCGCGGGCCGUCGUCCCGCGCGCCGCUCGCCUCGCCGGCCCCGCUAUCGCGUGGCUCGCUGCCGCAGUGCCCGUUUGA